rnacentral:misc_RNA from 1 species
UUUCCGUAGGUGAACCUGCGGAAGGAUCAUUGUCGAAACCUGCCCAGCAGAACGACCCGCGAACUUGUCUAAACAACCGGGGGCGGGGGGCGUUCUCGCCCCGUUCCCCCGGCCGGCGGGGAGACACUCGUGCCUUCUUGCCGAACAACGUACCCCGGCGCGGUCUGCGCCAAGGAACUUCAACUAAAGAGUGCCUCCGGUCGACUCGGAAACGGCGUGCGUGCCGGGGGCGAAGCUAGUGCAAAACCAUAACGACUCUCGGCAACGGAUAUCUCGGCUCUC